rnacentral:lncRNA from 1 species
GUUGCUUUCUUCCAGGAACAUUAAAAUCUCCCCAGAUGCUCACUGCUCUGAUCAUUUCCCCUACAGCACCAGACAUGUUGGCAUCAUCUCUUAGUUGGGCCAUGUGGCCAGGGAACCCUUCAUGAAACCACCUCUGCAGUCCUGGAGAGUUGCUGUAGAAGAAGGAAAAGAGAGGAAGACAACACAACACAGGAGGGGAUAAGUACCUCUGGACACAAUGGAAGUAGUAGUUGUUGAGCAGAGGGAAAGGGAUAGGAGAAGGAUGUGGACUGCAGUGCUGCAGUGCCAGGUAAUAACUUUGAUCAUGUACCUCCUUGGCUCAGGUGCUGUCUCUUCUACUCUCCUCCUUACUUGUACUACCUUAUUUAGCACUUAAUUAUAUACUUUCUUGACUCACUUUGAGACACACUGAUUAUGUGGUCUGCCUCAAAGACAGAAUCCUAGUUUUGGAUUUUAGCAUUACUGAUCUAUAGCCUUGCAGGGGCUUAAGGAUGGCAGCUGUCUCUCUCCCUUGGGAUCUAGCUUUUGCAAAUAUUGAAGGGAAGAGAUUUCUUUGAUCUUAUAGGAAUAGAUCCACAGUUCCUCUCCAGAUUUGCUUUUAUAGAGAAGUGUGUGUCACCAAAACAAUGGAGAUACGGUCAGAGAGGCC